rnacentral:misc_RNA from 1 species
AAAACGAAUUUUAUUGGGGGAAUGAUAAAUUAGUUGGUUAAAUAUAUAUUCUCCUGCAAAAAACAUCAGACUCUUCUCCAACGACGUCAGAUUAUUAGAGGAAAAAUGUUAAGAAUUGUGACUCGCAAGAAAAUAUCUACAUUGAUAAUGGCUCGAUACUAUGGUACUCAAUAUCAAGUGCAACAUGACCGUAAGAUGAAAGAAUUCUCACUUGGUGAAGGAUCAGAAAAGGCUGUUUUGCAGUAUAAUGAAUUAAAGCCAUCUCUUAUUGAACUUGAACACACUAUAGUUCCUGAAUCCUUACAAGGAAAAGGACUUGGCAAAUUAUUGGCUGAUGUAUCUGAUCUAGUAGAGGAUUGCCUUCCGAGGGGAAGUAAUGCUUAGCUUUAUGCUAUGGUACGUCUACCAUAGUAUCAAUGUUAUGAUGUUUUAGAUGCUAUUUCCUGUUUUUGCUUUUUGGAUUUUUCUUGUUAUAUUAUUCUUCUCAGUUUUAUCUCAGGCUGCAUUUGAAUAUGCCAUCGACAAAAAUCUUAAAGUAAAAGUUACUUGUGAAUUUAUUCAGAAAUAUCUAGAAAAAUAUCCAAGAUCUGAAUUCAAUAAGAUUUUAUCAGAAUAGGUAACUGUAUUCAAAAAUAGACUUUUGUGUUUUUUAUUUUUUACAUCCAAGUUCAUUCUGUAAUCGAACCAAUUGUUGAGAUAUUUGUAAAUAGCAUUCUAGUUUAUAAACUGCUCAUGUAUAUAUAUUUAUAUAUUGCUUCACAGAAAUAAAUAAUCUUAUUUAACUAAGAA